UCUAUAUAUACAGCACUGUAGGUCCCUACCCUAAUCAACGGUGGGUAUUCCGUCCCAAAUGUGCCAAGUGCUAUGGCUCACCUGACUUAUGGAUGAGGCUGAUUUUUGGAGUUGGGUUCUGUUUUUUUAGGUGAAGCAUCUGAUGGACGGGUUGGAUUCCAUGAACACAUCAUGGGCCCCACAUCUGGCUGAUAUCACCAAGCACGCUCCAUGUACGGAUAUGUAUUCAUUGGGACGGUAUGAAUGGCCAAGACUGGCAAUGGAUCAACAUGGGUUCGUUGCAACGAACCAAAGAAGUCAACAAUAAGUCACCCCGAAAAUCCAAAGAAGCUCGCUUUACGCCCAGCAAGAAAUUUCACGGCACCUUCGUUCCAAUCCUAAAUUUCAGCAGCAGCACCAUUGCUGGUUUGCAUCGCCAGAGAGAAUUUUGAAACAAGCUGCUUCUAAAAGCCUUGAAACAGAGAAUUCAGUUGG